rnacentral:misc_RNA from 1 species
AUUCUCCACCCCCAUGUCUUUUGUCACCGAAGGACGUGCUUGGGGCGGGUCCAUGGGCAUCUUUGCCCGUCUCCGGACAGGCUUGCCUUAAAAGUAUUAGCUGGACUGCAUCUGCGAUGCAUUGGUUCUACUCAACGUGAUAAGUUCAUUCGUUGAGGACGGCUUCACGGCCGGCCAAGCUACAAUGCGAUCAAUAGUCUGCUUCUAACCCGGCGCGGAGUGCUUGCACUCCAACCCAACUUAACG